UACGGGGGGGGCAAGCGUUGUCCGGAAUUAUUGGGCGUAAAGGGCUCGUAGGCGGUUUGUCGCGUCGGGAGUGAAAACACCGGGCUUAACUCGGUGCUUGCUUUCGAUACGGGCAGACUAGAGGUAUGCAGGGGAGAACGGAAUUCCUGGUGUAGCGGUGAAAUGCGCAGAUAUCAGGAGGAACACCGGUGGCGAAGGCGGUUCUCUGGGCAUGUCCUGACGCUGAGGAGCGAAAGUGUGGGGAGCGAACAGG
rnacentral:rRNA from 1 species